rnacentral:misc_RNA from 1 species
UAGUAUAUUAGCUCAUAUAUAUACCAAAUAUGCAUUCUUUUGAUAUUUAACCAAUACUUAAAUAACUUUAAAGCUCCUAUUAAUAUUACUUAAUUUUUAGUUUACAAUUGUUCCCUCAAAUCGACUGUCCAAAAUAGUAAUGAUAAACUUGCAUUAUCCAAAAACAAGAGUUUAGAAUUACUUUUUGGAGAAAAUGGAUGUCACUAUUUUGUCCGAGACGUCGAAAAGCAUAAAGUACAGUAAUUUUGUAUUUUUGCCCUAUUGAGGGUUGCCCCUCUCACUAACCAAAAAUUACCACAUAUGUAAAACAACAAUGUUUUGUGCAAAAAUCGAUUAAAAAAAAAAUCUACUCUACCGAUGUGACCCUGUAAUUGAGUCAUUAGUUUCCCAGUCGAAUCACCAAGUUUCACAAAUUUCAAUUUUUAGGGAUAACCUGGACCAACCAUAAGCUUAAUUCUCGAGUUUUUGGGAUGAACCAGUCGGUUUGAUCCGAGCUUAAGAACAAUACUAUAAACUUCCACUCACCAAUAUCAUCUCAACAUAAAGAAGAACAAUACCUCACACCUACACCUCCCAUAUAAGCCUUAUAAGGUACCAUGGCAUUGCUAGCUCAAUGGUUAUUAUUUUAAACAACUACAUAAUGACAAGAUCUAACAUAUCUCGUAAAAUACAAUUAUUUAAAAA